rnacentral:rRNA from 1 species
AUGAUGAGGGAGGAAACCGUCGAUGCGUUCAAAUGGUUAUUUCAGUCUUUCAGUUGUGCAAUGCAUGGAAAAAGGCCGUCGGCAAUUCUGACAGAUAACUGUUAUCAGAUGGAAGUGGCAAUCGCGGAGGUGUGGCCUGGUACGGUUCAUAGAGUUUGCAAGUGGCAUGUACUGAAGAAUGCUAAAGAGAACUUUGGGAACAUAUAUAGCAAGAGGAGCACUUUCAAGAAUGAGUUUCAUAGAGUUUUGAAUGACCCGCAGACAAUAGAUGAGUUCGAGAGAGCUUGGAUUGAUUUAGUGAAAAGGUAUGAACUGGAGUCUAGCACAUACAUGAAACGGAUGUGGGAUAUGAGGACACAAUGGGCUCCUGUUUACUUCAAAUCACAUUUUUUUGCUAAAAUGUCGACCACUCAGAGAAGUGAGAGUAUGAACCAUGUUCUUAAGAAGUAUGUGAAGCCAUCUUCUCCGAUGAAUGUCCUUGUCAGGAAGUAUGAAAGUUUCUUUUAUGACAGAAUACAGGAGGAAGACGUCGAAGAGUUCCACACAUCUGAUGAUAAGGUGGUUACAGCUAUGAAGUCACCUUUGGAAAAACAUGCUGCGCGUGUGUACACAAGAGGUGCUUUCAAAAGGUUCAAGGAACAGUUUGUUUGGAGUGUGUCUUAUGAUAUAAGACCAUCGUCGCAGGAGAACCAUUUUUUGGUGAUCCAUAUGGGUGAUGAUAAGGAUAGCUGGGGCAGAAGAGAGUAUGAUGUUGAGGCCAUCGUUGGUGAGCAAGAAUUUUCGUGUGUGUGCAAACUGUUUGAGCACUUGGGGAUACUCUGCCGGCACAUA